rnacentral:rRNA from 1 species
GACGAACGCUGGCGGCGUGCUUAACACAUGCAAGUCGAACGGAAAGGCCCUGCUUUUGUGGGGUGCUCGAGUGGCGAACGGGUGAGUAACACGUGAGUAACCUGCCCUUGACUUUGGGAUAACUUCAGGAAACUGGGGCUAAUACCGGAUAGGAGCUCCUGCUGCAUGGUGGGGGUUGGAAAGUUUCGGCGGUUGGGGAUGGACUCGCGGCUUAUCAGCUUGUUGGUGGGGUAGUGGCUUACCAAGGCUUUGACGGGUAGCCGGCCUGAGAGGGUGACCGGGCACAAUGGGACUGAGGUACGGCCCAGACUCCUACGGGAGGCAGGAGUGGGGAAUAUUGCCCAAUGGGCGGAAGCCUGAUUCAGCAACGCCCGGUGGGGGAAGACGGGCUUCGGGUUGUAAACCGCUUUCGCCUGGGACGAAGCGGGAGGGACGGGAAUGGGGAAAAAAGCAACGGCUAAAUACGUG